UUUUCAAAACUAUAUAUUACUAAUGAACCUGUGAAUCCAAUCAUAUACAAUUAGAUAUGCAUCAUGCCCAAAAUAUUUCAUGUCAAGAAGUCCUUCAUAACAAGAGGCCCACAAGGGCCUAUGUUCUACUGGCAUGACCUUUAGUUAAUUCUUUAUCCAAAGCAGGUACAUACUAGUAUUAGGCAAUAUACUGCAACUACAUUCAAAGGGAAGCAAUCAGUGAACCAAAUGUUUUACUAAGCGCGAAGGGAGAGAAAUACUGCAAUAAUACACAACUUUCUGUACAAGUUGUCUCCCUUAGAGUUUACUUUUGCUAGGGCUGCACAGCUUUAAGGUAUUAGCCAUGUAAUACAACUCGGGAAACAUCGGGUAACAUCGACAUAUAUCGCCACUCGCCGUAACAGAUCGCGACGAACAUCGGGCGUAUUCGGCCUAUACCGGAUGUUGCUAUUUUUAGAAACAGAAUGUAUUUCCCGGCUAUUCAUAGGUCAAUAAUGGAAUUUCUACAUCGUAGGAUUGGGAAACAUUGUGAUGUUUUUCUCAUGAAUAUACGUUUCUCAUGAAUAUACGUUUAAAAUAAAUAAACACUAAAAGUACACAUUUGAUUACGAUACAUCUAACAAUUUGAGUCAUUACAGUAAAACAUGGAUUAUAAGUGAAAUAUACGCGUAAGAGAAGAUUUUCUCUCGAAAAAACGAACUGUCAACAAUCGGCAUGGAACUGGGAUAUUCGUAUCAAAGGGCUCAGAAUGCAGGAAAAUGACUGAAUAUUACUUAGUCAACAACACUGGGUUAUGAAGAAUUCCAGCCUGCAUUAAAUACUAUGUUGGAUCCUUGAGAGCGGAUUUGACAGCCAUGUCCAUCCACAAGGCAGUCGCAUCUGAUCGAGAUGAUCACUAAACAUUCUUGAUGGGUAAAGUACCUGAAGGUGCAUGAAAACCAAAUCAGCAUUGACUCAGCAUUGAGUAGUUAUCAUCUGUGUGCACACACACAAGUACAAAGCAUGGGAACAGACCAAACUUCAAAUUUUGAAGAGUGAAGAAUUAUUUUGAAAAAAAAAAUUGUUAGACUACCAAUGACAAAAUAAAACAGAUAUACAUCAAAUUACCCACAGAGAUUGUUUACAUGUUAUAAUAUUAAAAAAAAACAUUAGUUGAGAACUUUCACUCUGAUAUUUUUUGAGGGGCGAGCCCACUUAUUGUUCUUGUUUCUUCACAUAUUUUAGUUUAAAAGUACACUCAUUUGUUUUAAAUUCUGUAUUCUGAGUUAGUAUCAUAAGUAAAAUUCAUUUAUUUGAAAGAGUACAUUUUAUGAAUAAGUCCAAUUAAGCUUUAUAAAUUUUUACAAGAAAAAGGUUGAUUUUUAAGCAUUUUUAUUAGCUAUAAAAAUGUAUGGUAACAUGACAUUAUGUAUAUUUUCUUCAAAACUGGACGGUAAACUAUCAUAAAUUGUCUUUUAAAUUGUUCAAUAGACAUCAUAGAUAAUAUCUAAAAUGAUUUUAGCAGCUUGCCUUAUAGUUAAUUAUUUUUUAUGAAUUUUAUAAAACUGCUAUAUAUUUUCAAACAUCGAAAAACUGCUCUUUUCCGAGGAAUCAUAAGAUCAAUCAAAAUGAUUUUUUUCCAUGUGUAUCAAUAAUGUGUUCGUUUGAACUUUAGUUUUCUGUUAACUGAAGUUUAUUUUACCAGAAACUGUUGUGUUUAUUUCAUAAUCUUUGAUAAUGCGAAAAAAAAUCAAAUAUAGACAAAAUAUUUACUUGUCGCUCUUUGUAGCCCUUGGAGUUUGGGGGUGGGUGUAAUGAAACAUAAAUAUUUUUUUUAAUUCACGGUAAAAAAUCUUCAAAAUUUUGAUAAAAGUCCCAUAGUGUACCGUGAUUAUAACUAUGUUGUCGGUUAAAGCUUUUAAAAAAGUGUGUAUUACGCGGCUAAUACCUUAAGGGCCAUAAUCCAAUCAUGCAUGGACGGAUAUGGCUGAUUUAAGAAAGAUACCUAGCUCUCAUCUUAACCUUACUUUGGCUAGUAGAGCUCCAAAUUAGUAUGUAGGCCUACCUUAUGAUUAAGUCUUUAAGAAAACAGGGUGAGAACUUAACACCCAGUUUCAACAACUCUCAUUACUAGCUUAACUUACAAGCGCCACUAAGGUGUUUUUUAGGUUUUCUGCUUUCAAUGGUUACCAUUCCAACAAAGGAGGUUAGAUAAAAGGUUAACGCCAGGUUUUAAAAGGGACAUCCUAUGAUGCUGCAGAAGAUGGACAGACUGCCAUAACAGAAAAGGGCACAUUGAAUCGGGCUGUGAAGAAACUAGAACAUAAUAAAUUUGACAGAAAGGUUAAGGAUUAUUUAAAAUACAAGUGAUAUUUUGUUUAGUUUAAACUUAUUUAUGUUAUAACAAUUGUGAAGCAAUUUAUUCCAACAUUAUAUUAAUCACUCUGGCUGGCAUUAUGUUACACAAGAAAGUGGUCUUAUGUUGUGGGGGAAACCAGACUACCAUGAGAAAACCAACUUUUCCAGCUUGGUUACCACAAACCCAACUCAGAUGCACCCAGGCCAGGAAUCAAACCCUGGUAGCCUAGGUGAGAAGGUUUCAACUGCCAAAUAUGUAAAGUUUAAAUGUAAUCAUCUACGUUUUAUAUAAUCAAAAUGGAAAAAAUAUUUGAAAGUAUCUAACAUCUAAUUAUAUGAAGGUGCUGGUCUCCAUGAUGGCAGAAGGCUGCUACCAAAAAAAGACAGAGUGCAGGACCCUUAACACGCAUAACACUAGCUAAAACCCUAGUAAUAUGCCACUUAUAUCUAUUUAUCGGCUUACAACAAAACUACUUGCACACAAUAAC